ensembl:lncRNA
AGCAAAAGGAAAACAUUUCAACUCAACAAACCACUGCGACUAGUUAAAGCACUUUAACUACAGUUUUUCGAGUGACUAAGAUGUAUCAAACUGAAACCAGCGCGGUUCUUAAGAAUGUGGGAGCCGAUGCAGAACUCAUCUCUAAUAACAACUUAAAUAACAAGAUGGAUCUGCUGACUCUGGUCAAAGUCAGUGAGGGAAGAUUCUGGCCCGUACCAAAGUACAAGCCCAUGGAGUUCAGCCUGUCUGAGCUGGCCGAGCUUGAGGAGGAAGAAGACACAUGUAAAGAUUAUAAGGAGGAGGUCUUGGUGAAGGAUUUCACGACUACUAUGGAGACAAAGGGGAGUGGAGAAAUUGGUGGGGGAGAUGAUAUUGUGGGUAAAGCCAAAGUUGAGGCAACUGGUGAUACCGUGGAUGGACUGGAACAACCUGUGAGCAUUAUAAAAAAGAAAGCCGACGUUAAAAAACUGAGGAACAAGUUCAGUGGCAGGAAAAUAAAGAAGGAAAACAUGGAGUUACUGGGACUGAAGGACAAUGACAAACUGACUUUUGUUUACCAGAAAGUUUACAACAGCGGGCCUGUCAAGAUGAUUCGAAAGUCUAACAAGAGUGGGUCCAUCUCAGCCUCCUGUCAGAAGAUGCUGCAUGUUCUUAUAAAGGGCAGCAAGAAGGAGGUGACGAGCUUCACUGUGCCGGAAAACUCCACCUUUGGUUUUGGUCUCAUGGAGCUAAAGAUGGAUGAUGAGAAGCUGAAAAUCACAUGUGAACCCUUUACUCAUAAAACAGGUUUAUUCGGUCUGUUUGCCAACGAUGCCAUCAACUCCAAAGAGAUGCUGCACAAAGUGAAAGAAGAACUGGAGACGAAGGAUCAUCUUCUGCUGCCGCUCGGAGAGCUUCCCGAGUCGACCCGUCGUGAUCUGCUGAAGAAGCUCAGCGAGCUUGCUGAGGACGGAGAUACUCUCUCUCUGCUGGAACAGACACUGGACCAGUGCACUAAAGGAACCUCUGAGCAUGUACUGUCUGAGGCUGUCUCCUCCUUCAUGGACCUUCUUGAUAUCUCAAACAUCUCCAGUGCUGUGAAGGAUGCCGUUCAUCUGUUGGUCAGCACGUUGGACACUCUGCCAGAUGAAGUGCCACCACUUCUGACCCGCUGCAGUCCAGAUACUCUGAGAGUCCUCAACCAGCUGGUGGAUGGUCUGAAGGACGGUCGGGCCACACUGCCAGAGUCCCUGCCCGUCCCCCUGCAGGAGGGAGGGGAGCUCCGCUGGGCAGCCGAGUUCAUCUGUUUGAACGAUCAGAAGCUGAAAGAGUUGAGUGACGGCUGGGACCGGCCCGAGCUGCCCCCAGAGGUUCUGCUGGAGGUUCUGUGCCUCGCUGUGCAGGGACUCAGCCUGAUGCAGCCCACAACAAACCCUUAAUGUCAGCUGCUGUGAUCUUUGUUAACCUGUUUUCACAGCAGCUGAUUUUAUAUUGUGUGCAGCUUCAAAGCAGGUAACAUCAGUACCUACAGCUGGGUUGAUUCCAGCUUUUGUGUUGCAGCGUUUCUCUGCCUUUAUUGUCUUUCCCAGGAGCAAAAUGACUUUAAUUUGUAAUAACAAUAAUAAUAAUAAUAAUUUACUUCAUGAUUCUUGUCAUUUAUUGGUUUUGUUGCAGUCUUUGUUUAUAGUUCCUGUUCCCUUCUGUGUUCCCCAUCUCUGUCUCCACGUUUUAAUAUUCUGAAUGUGAAUUUAUUAUUCUCCUUGUUCUGAAUUAAAGCUUUAUGAUUUACUGAAAAGAGCGAGUGGAGCCUUUAAAUCUAAGAAAAUUUUUUUUACAAGAACCCCUAAAAACACAUAAAUGACAGCAGAUAAGGAUCAGCGCCGAGGUAAUGACACUGACAUUCAGAGAAAGGUUGUAAUUCAAAAAUAAUUAGGAAAGUAAUUUAAAAAAAUCAGUGUUCAC